GGAAUGUGCUGGACGCCUGCACGCUGUGCAUGCCAUGUUGAUGGGCUACCCUGAGCCAAGCAAGUAGCUUGCAAGGCUCUCGUGGCGGAAGCCAUGACAGCCUGGCAAUUCAAGACCUGGGAACAGGCUCAGGCUGGCAACAGAGCAAGCAAAACUGGGCCCUACUUGCAGUGGUGGGAU
rnacentral:SRP_RNA from 15 species